rnacentral:rRNA from 1 species
AGUGAACGCUGGCGGUAGGCCUAACACAUGCAAGUCGAACGGCAGCACAGUAAGAGCUUGCUCUUACGGGUGGCGAGUGGCGGACGGGUGAGGAAUACAUCGGAAUCUACUUUUUCGUGGGGGAUAACGUAGGGAAACUUACGCUAAUACCGCAUACGACCUACGGGUGAAAGCAGGGGAUCUUCGGACCUUGCGCGAUUGAAUGAGCCGAUGUCGGAUUAGCUAGUUGGCGGGGUAAGGGCCCACCAAGGCGACGAUCCGUAGCUGGUCUGAGAGGAUGAUCAGCCACACUGGAACUGGGACACGGUCCAGACUCCGACGGGAGGCAGCAAUGGGGAAUAUUGGACAAUGGGCGCAAGCCUGAUCCAACCAUACCGCGUGGGUGAAGAAGGCCUUCGGGUUGUAAAGCCCUUUUGUUGGGAAAGAAAAGCAGCAGGUUAAUACCCCGCUGUUCUGACGGUACCCAAAGAAUAAGCACCGGCUAACUUCGUG